UACGUAGGCAGCGAGCGUUGUUCGGAGUUACUGGGCGUAAAGGGUGUGUAGGCGGUUUUCUAAGUUUGGUGUGAAAUCUCCCGCCGUUAACCGGGAGGGUCGCCGAAAACUGGGAGACUAGAGUGCGGGAUGGGAGAGUAGAAUUCCUGGUGUAGCGGUGAAAUGCGUAGAUAUCAGGAGGAACACCGGUAGCGAAGGCGGGUCUCUGGGCCGAUACUGACGCUGAGGAGCGAAAGCGUGGGGAGCGAACAGG
rnacentral:rRNA from 1 species